rnacentral:rRNA from 1 species
CCUACGGGUGGCAGCAGUGGGGAAUAUUGGACAAUGGGCGCAAGCCUGAUCCAGCAAUGCCGCGUGAGUGAAGAAGGCCUUAGGGUUGUAAAACUCUUUCAGUAGUGAAGAUGAUGACGGUAACUACAAAAGAAGCACCGGCUAACUUCGUGCCAGCAGCCGCGGUAAUACGAAGGGUGCUAGCGUUGUUCGGAAUUACUGGGCGUAAAGAGCAUGUAGGCGGAUUGAUUAGUCAGAGGUGAAAGCCCCGAGCUCAACUUGGGAAUUGCCUUUGAUACUGUCAGUCUAGAGACCGAGAGAGGUUAGUGGAAUUCCCAGUGUAGAGGUGAAAUUCGUAGAUAUUGGGAAGAACACCAGUGGCGAAGGCGGCUAACUGGCUCGGUACUGACGCUGAGAUGCGAAAGCGUGGGGAGCAAACAGGAUUAGAUACCCCAGUAGUC